AAUUUUACAGUUCAAGUUGGUUAAUUCGUUUAAUUUAAUACUCUGUGAUUUAAUACUUAAUCUAAUCCAUAUUUAAUCGUUUGCUAGCCUUUCUGGGUGUUUGAACGAUUUUAUAUACGGUCACUACUAUUUUCCCGCCAAUUUGUGUUUCAUGCAAAGAUAUUAGUCUUGUUUUUAUAUAUUAUUAUACAUAUUCAAGGAUAUUAGUGUGGUUUAAUAUCUUUUUAAUAACUAAUUUGUUGUGAUUUUGGUGCUUUUCAUCUUUAUUUUAUCAUAUUAAAGGUGUAAUUAAAUAUGGAUUGUUAAAUUAUGUGUUUUAUGUUAUUUGUGCAGUUAGGGUUAGGAUUAGUACAUUUAUUGUAUUUUUUCCAUGAUUGUUUAAUUAAGUACCAUACAUAAUAUGAAUAUUCAACAAUCUGUUUUUUAUUUUAGAAAUCUUGAAGAGUUUACAACUUGGAUGUCGCUGGAUAAUAAAGAAGUAAACUAUGCUCGUCAUGAUAGACAAAAACAUGCUAGUGGAGAAGAGACUAUUAUAUAACUGUAACAGAAGCAAUUCUAAAGAUUGAUUUGUUAGUUCAAUGCAGCAAACGUAAUAUGAAAACUGGAGGUAGUAUUCGCAUAAAUGGGACCUGCCCUUCACGAAUUUUAGUAAAAAUAACUACAGAUGGUCAAAUUCAAGCCAAAUUUUUUGAAACAUGUGGGCCAUACAGAUGAGUUGAGAACAAAGCGAUUGUCGAAGGUGGAACAAAGUAUUAUUGUGGGACAAUUAUCAGCAGGGGUAUCAAAUGACAGAAUAAUUCAAGAUGCGAGAAAAAACA